rnacentral:rRNA from 1 species
GCAACGAUGCUAAGCGACCUGAGGGAUGUCACGUGACUGAACUGUCGAGUCCUACGAGCAGCGUACGAAUCUCGCAAUGACGAAGUCGACGAGCACGGCCGCUGAGUGAUGAGGCUUCCGGUCGUAAAUUCGUGUAGGAGACCAGUGCUAGUGAUUACGCUGCCACGUUGACGGUACUACGAGAAGCCACGCUACUACCGUGCAGCAGCCGCGGUAAUACGUAGGUGGCAGCGUAUCCUGAUUAUUGGGCGUAAAGCGCCGCGCAGUCGUUUCUUAAGUCUGAUGUGGAAAGGCCCAUCGCUCAACCGUGCGAGGGUCAUUGGAUACCUGGAGGACCUGAGUGGCAGAAGGAGGAAAGUGGACUUCCCAUGUGUAGCGGAUGAAAUGCGUAGAAGAUUAUGGAGGGACCACCAGUGGGGGAAGGGCGACUUUUUGUUCUGUAACUGACCAUGAGGCGGGAAAAGCAUGGGGGAGCAAACCAAGAAUAGAUUACCCUGGUUGUUCCCCCCGUUAAAGAAGAAGUGGUAAGUUUUGGGGGGUUUCGCCCCUUUGUGGUGAAAGUAACUCCAUUAACCAUUCGCCUGGGGGGGUCCGGCGGCAGGGCUAAAAUUAAAAGGAAUGAAGGGGGGCCGCCCCAACCGUUGGGGCUGGUGGUUUAUUUGGAGGCACGGGGAGGACCCUUCCCAGGUCUGGACUUCUUCGGCCACCCCAGGAGAUAGGCUUUUCCUUUCGGAACCGAAUGGCCGGUUGUGCCAUGGUGUUGUCAAGUCGGGUUCUGGGAUGUUGGGGUUAGUUCCGGCAAGAGGGCCACCCCUUGUUUUUGUUGCCCUCCAUAAAGUGGGCCAUUUUAAGGGGACGCCCGGGGCCAACCCGAGGGAAGGGGGGGAGGACGCCAAUUCAUCAUGCCCCUUAUGCCUUGGGCUCCCCACUUGUUCCAAUGGCGGUUCAAAGAGGUGCCAAGCCCGGGAGGGGGAGUUAUUUCCUAAAACCCGUUUCCAGUUCGGAUUGUGGGUUGCAACUCGCUUACAUGAAGCGGGAAUCGUUAGUAAUCGCGGAUCACCAUGCCGCGGGAAAUACGUUCCCGGCCCUGUACACCCCCCCCCUCCCCCCCAGGGAGUUUGUACCCCCGAAGUUGGUGGGGUAACCUUUUGGAGCCACGCC